AUCCAGCUGACGAGUUCUAGAUAGGAUGAAACGCGCUUCAAACUGGAU
rfam:Schistosoma rodhaini strain Burundi genome assembly, scaffold: SROB_contig0005240